CGGACGGGUGAGUAACGCGUGGAUAACCUGCCUCACACAGGGGGACAACAGCCGGAAACGGCUGCUAAUACCGCAUAACACAAGUAAUUCGCAUGAAUAACUUGCCAAAGAUUUUAUCGGUGCGAGAUGGAUCCGCGUCUGAUUAGCCAGUUGGCGGGGUAACGGCCCACCAAAGCGACGAUCAGUAGCCGACCUGAGAGGGUGACCGGCCACAUUGGGACUGAGACACGGCCCAA
rnacentral:rRNA from 1 species